ACCAUAUGUUCCCUCCCCUCCCCUGCCCAUCACUGGCCUCCCUGGCCCCAGCCCCCUUUGCUCUGUUUAGCCUAGGAUGGUAUAUAAAUCUGAAUCAUCUGGCCACCUCUUUGAGUCUCAUUUCUUUGAGAAACUCCCAAAUGCAGAUAGACCACAGGCAGAUCAUCUUGAUCCAUUGGACUUGGAUGUUGGACUCAAUACGGAAUCCUAUGGGGAAUUAACAUGCGAAACAGAUAAAACUUCGAGCCACAUGAGGGAAGUGCCAAGAGAAUCACUUGCAAGGAGAGGAUGUGCCUGUAAGAAGAGUAGGUCCUGUGACGCUGAGAAGCAAAAUGUCCUGUUCAAGCUAACUUGGUAAUCCUUAGAAGCAGCCCCAAGGAAGAAGAUUGCCACACUCUGCUUGAUCUAAUGGGCCACAACAGCUCCCAAAUUGAAGAAAUGAGGAUUGGCAUGUCAAGGAAGAGAGACAGCUGAGAGAGAAGAUGGUGGCCUGUGACUAAGAAAUACUAACCUCUGGAACUAUGUGACUCUCGGAUAUCGAUUCCGUUCUGCUGCAGGCUCCAGGCUCUGGGACCACUUCUGAUCUUAGACUUGGAGGGCUUUAGGGUCUGAUUUUGGGGCUCAGCACUAAGUCAAUCUUGCUACCCAUUCAGCCAUGACGUUGUAGUCCACUCUGCAUAAAGGUGCUUCUCCCUUGUGCAGAAGAUUCAAUCUCCACAUUGUAUCCUAAUCAUGGUAGCUGGGUCCUUGUCUUGCUCCUUGUGUUUCUCAAUCUGUCUUGUCCUUUUUGAACUGAAGUCUUUCAUUGCCUUACCCAAAGUCAAGAGGUUUCUAGCCAAGAGGUUUCUAGCCUUCAUAUAACUUAACUCCUGUUGGACUCGAUAUUGCCUGUUUCUAGAUUCUUCAUGUCAUCCUUUGAAUGGAUGUUGGGACACCCUCUGCUCCUUUGAGUUGUCCCUCGUUUCCCUCCCCCUGCUUCAUACCAACUAAUAGCCUAGAAAAACAGAUGUUUAUUGUUAAGUAUUUUCCAAACUGCGUCUCCAAUAUCUAGUGGAGUGCCUGGACCAUAGUAGGCAUUCAAUAAAUAUAUAGAGAAUGAAUGAAUUCAUUCUACCUGCCAGCCAGGACUCCUUUCCAGUAUUUGCUGGCAAAGUCCAUUUUCCCAGAAACUGCCGGUCUCAGAGGUUUCUAGAUCUCAGCUCACCCCAGUUUGCCCAGGCUGCCUUGCCUUACCUUGAACUGGGACACAACACCAAAAUAUUAUGCAUCUUUGUAUCAUCAGCAAGGUGUGUCUUCAAUGCCUCAUUCUUCUUUGCAGGUUUUUGAAAAUGUUGGCCUGUUCUAGCUUAUUUUCUCUUUCCUUUGCCUCCUGGUUGUCUCUCAGAAACUUUAGGAAAAAUUUUAUUUGAUGAAAUUAAUUCAUACCAAAGUGCCAAUCACUAACAAUUCAGGGAAGUUAGCCAGUAAACUUCAAGGUAUAGCCCUGGGUUGUAGUUAGUGAAGCCAAGAGGAAGUUCCACCUUAGAUAGAGCGGGAAUGUUUCUAGAAACUGGAGAUAUUUAGCUUGGAGAUCAUCUUGGGAAGGUCAUGGCAGCUAUUUCAAAUAUACAUAUAUGUCUGAUGUGUAAAAGUCAGAAUACAUCUAUAUUGUGCAAAUAAGCAUUGGUGAUGAUCUGCCCUAA
ensembl:lncRNA